rnacentral:rRNA from 1 species
AUACGUAGGUGGCAAGCGUUGUCCGGAUUUACUGGGCGUAAGGGCGCGUAGGCGGGAUGGCAAGUCAGAUGUGAAAUCUCCGGGCUCAAACCGGAAACUGCAUUUGAAACUGUCGUUCUUGAGUAUCGGAGAGGCAAACUGAAUUCUGAGGGUAGCGGGGAAAUGCGUAGAAAUUAGGAGGAACACCAGUGGCGAAGGCGGUUUGCUGGACGACAACGGACGUGGAGGCGCGAAAGCGUGGGGAGCAAACAGGAUUAGAUCCCCUGGUAGUCCACGCCGUAAACGAUGAAUACUAGGUGUGGGGGGACUGACCCCCUCCGUGCCGCAGUUAACACAAUAAGUAUUCCACCUGGGGAGUACGGCCGCAAGGUUGAAACUCAAAUGAAUUGGCGGGG